rnacentral:rRNA from 1 species
UACGAAGGGGGCGAGCGUUGUUCGGAUUUACUGGGCGUAAAGGGCGCGUAGGCGGCGCUUCAAGUCGCGUGUGAAAGCCCCGGGCUCAACCUGGGAACUGCAUUGGAAACUAACGGGCUCGAGUGUGGCAGAGGGGGGUGGAAUUCCACGUGUAGCAGUGAAAUGCGUAGAGAUGUGGCGGAACACCGAUGGCGAAGGCAGCCCCCUGGGCUGAGAUUGACGCUCAGGCACGAAAGCGUGGGGAGCAAACAGG